GAGUUUGAUCCUGGCUCAGGACGAACGCUGGCGGCGUGCUUAACACAUGCAAGUCGAGCGGUAAGGCCCUUCGGGGUACACGAGCGGCGAACGGGUGAGUAACACGUGGGUAAUCUGCCUCGUACUCUGGGAUAAGCCCGGGAAACUGGGUCUAAUACCGGAUAUGACUCCGCAUCGCAUGGUGUGGGGUGGAAAGUUCCGGCGGUACGGGAUGAACCCGCGGCCUAUCAGCUUGUUGGUGGGGUAGUGGCCUACCAAGGCGACGACGGGUAGCCGGCCUGAGAGGGUGACCGGCCACACUGGGACUGAGACACGGCCCAGACUCCUACGGGAGGCAGCAGUGGGGAAUAUUGCACAAUGGGCGCAAGCCUGAUGCAGCGACGCCGCGUGGGGGAUGACGGCCUUCGGGUUGUAAACCUCUUUCAGCAGGGACGAAGCGCAAGUGACGGUACCUGCAGAAGAAGCACCGGCUAACUACGUGCCAGCAGCCGCGGUAAUACGUAGGGUGCGAGCGUUGUCCGGAAUUAUUGGGCGUAAAGAGCUCGUAGGCGGUUUGUCGCGUCGGCCGUGAAAACCUGGGGCUUAACCCUGGGCCUGCGGUCGAUACGGGCAGACUUGAGUUCGGUAGGGGAGACUGGAAUUCCUGGUGUAGCGGUGAAAUGCGCAGAUAUCAGGAGGAACACCGGUGGCGAAGGCGGGUCUCUGGGCCGAUACUGACGCUGAGGAGCGAAAGCGUGGGGAGCGAACAGGAUUAGAUACCCUGGUAGUCCACGCCGUAAACGGUGGGUGCUAGGUGUGGGGACCAUUCCACGGUUUCCGUGCCGUAGCCAACGCAUUAAGCACCCCGCC
rnacentral:ncRNA from 1 species